UACGUAGGGGGCAAGCGUUGUCCGGAUUUAUUGGGCGUAAAGAGCGUGUAGGCGGUCAGGUAGGUCCGUUGUGAAAACUCGAGGCUCAACCUCGAGACGCCGAUGGAAACCAUCUGACUAGAGUCCGGAAGAGGAGAGUGGAAUUCCUGGUGUGGCGGUGAAAUGCGCAGAUAUCAGGAAGAACACCCGUGGCUAAGGCGGCUCUCUAGUACGGUACUGACGCUGAGACGCGAAAGCGUGGGGAGCGAACAGG
rnacentral:rRNA from 1 species